rfam:Nematostella vectensis strain CH2 x CH6 NEMVEscaffold_1655_Cont37889, whole genome shotgun sequence.
UUGUCUAGGUGUAGAUGGUGGAGCAUUGUUCUCUAUUUGUUGGAUUUCAGGGGGGUAACAAUGGGGUCAACCAGUCUCACAAACUGGAUCAAACUGGAUCUCCAGGUUUUAGGCUUCUAUGUUCUUUUAAAUUAGGUUAUUUGCAGUUUGGAGUUAUUUUGGCGGUUUCAUGCGCUCUGCCUUGAUUUAUUUGAUUUCUUUUUUUUUAUUCUUCAAACGGCUUUUAAAAAUACAAACAUAGAUAAAACGAUAUACUGUCUAUCAACAAAAUGAGAAAAACUCAACACACACGUACAAGUUAAUCGAUUUUGCAGAUUACAGUCUAACAGAGAGUAACUGUACAGUCUUACAGAAACUGUUACAAUAUUAUUAUUGUGUAAAAGUUGAUACGAUACCUCGAUUUUACGAUAUAUUUUCUUUUUUCCGAGGCAUAUCGUUAAAUCCAGGUUCCACUCACUGUAUCAAGAGAGCAAAAAUAUAUAUGCUUCCUGUUGCAAUAGAUAUGAAGAGAGGUGGUCUAAAAGGACAAUAUUACAUCCUUCAGAAAGAAAUUAUUACAUCCUUCAAAAAUACUCUGGAUACCCAUGGAACCUAUGAGGAAAUAUGAACUUUAGAGAGACCAAUCACAAUGGGGCAAUUGUAGGGUAGUAACCAAUCAGUUUGCAUGAACUAUAGGGUGACCAAUCACAAUGGGGGAUUUCUAGCGUAACCAAUUAGCUUUCACCCUGAAAUCAGCUUGCCUGGAGAUAGGGUGUAAUGCUCGGUAAAGCACCACACUUCUUGUGGUGUCCGGUGCGCUCUCGACGGCCCUUGAAAAUUCGGGGAAGACAUUGAUUUUCGUGUCCGGUCGUACUCAUAACCGCAGCAGGUCUCCAAGGUGAGCAGCCUCUGGUUGAUAGAACAAUGUAGGUAAGGGAAGUCGGCAAAAUAGAUCCGUAACUUCGGGAAGAGGAUUGGCUCUAAGGGUUGGGUCUGUCGGCUAAGACUUGAAGCCAGUGGACCCGGCCCGGACUGGCCGAGGCCCAUCCGGGUCGAAGCUGGACCCGGGAAGGGGCUGUUGGUGGAUUGGCCCACCUAUGGUCGCGAGGCCAAUUCGGCAGGCAAUGAACAACCAACUUAGAACUGGCAGUGACUAGGGGAAUCCGACUGUUUAAUUAAAACUGCAGGGCGACUUCGACUCGAACAAAGUUACAGGGGUAAUAGACUGUGCUAGCGUCCCGUCUUGGCCCGACUGGUGCCAAUGUGUGUAAGCUAGUGUGCUUUUAAAGUCCACAGUUAUGUAUACAUACUCGCAAGGAUAUUUUGGCUAUCCGACGGAGU